rnacentral:lncRNA from 1 species
AAGGAUGUCACCUCACUGGCUAAAUUCCAACAGAUUCUUCAACAGCUAAUGGAAGCUCAACCUAAACAAAAGGAAAAUCCUAUAUUCCACCCCAGAGACUUGGUAUUGGCAGUGUGAUAGCCAACCUGACUCCAUUUGUGUGAAGUCAAGUGAUUCUGGGUGCUCACCCCUUCCCCACACCUGGAAGUCCCCUCAGUUAAUGCAUAACAGACCAACCACUGCAUCCUGUGACCAAUUUGGGAAGGACAGUACAACACGAUCCUGUCGACUUCACCAGCUGUCAAGAUAGCAGGCCUGAACUCCUGGAUGUAUCACACCCACCUCAAGCCCUGGGAACCAGAAACUGAUGCUCAAUGUGAACAGCUAUUCAAAUGCUCCUGUGAACCUG